CCUACGGGGGGCAGCAGUGAGGAAUAUUCGGCAAUGGGGGCAACCCUGACCGAGCAACGCCGCGUGGAGGAUGACGGUUUUUGGAUUGUAAACUCCUUUUCUCAGGGAAGAGCGAGGACGGUACCUGAGGAAUAAGUCACGGCUAACUACGUGCCAGCAGCCGCGGUAAUACGUAGGUGGCAAGCGUUAUCCGGAAUUACUGGGCGUAAAGCGCACGCAGGCGGCUGUCCAAGUCUGACGUGAAAGCUCCUGGCUUAACUGGGAGAGGUCGUUGGAAACUAGAUGGCUUGAGGCGAGGAGAGGGGUGUAGAAUUCCCGGUGUAGUGGUGGAAUGCGUAGAUAUCGGGAGGAAUACCAGUGGCGAAAGCGGCACCCUGGCCUUGGCCUGACGCUCAGGUGCGAAAGCGUGGGGAGCGAACGGGAUUAGAUACCCUAGUAGUC
rnacentral:rRNA from 1 species